UAGGGAAUUUUUCACAAUGAGCGAAAGCUUGAUGGAGCAAUGCCGCGUGAACGAUGAAGGUCUUUAAGAUUGUAAAGUUCUUUUAUUUGGGAAGAAUGACUUUAGCAGGUAAUGGCCAGAGUUUGACUGUACCAUUUUGAAUAAGUGACGACUAACUAUGUGCCAGCAGUCGCGGUAAUACAUAGGUCGCAAGCGUUAUCCGGAUUUAUUGGGCGUAAAGCAAGCGCAGGCGGAUUGAAAAGUCUGGUGUUAAAGGCAGCUGCUUAACAGUUGUAUGCAUUGGAAACUAUUAAUCUAGAGUGUGGUAGGGAGUUUUGGAAUUUCAUGUGGAGCGGUGAAAUGCGUAGAUAUAUGAAGGAACACCAGUGGCGAAGGCGAAAACUUAGGCCAUUACUGACGCUUAGGCUUGAAAGUGUGGGGAGCAAAUAGGAUUAGAUACCCUAGUAGUCCACACCGUAAACGAUAGAUACUAGCUGUCGGGGCGAUCCCCUCGGUAGUGAAGUUAACACAUUAAGUAUCUCGCCUGGGUAGUACAUUCGCAAGAAUG
rnacentral:rRNA from 1 species